rnacentral:rRNA from 1 species
UUUGCCAUCUACUCUUUGAGUCUUGUAUUGGAAUGAGUACAAUUUAAACACCUUAACGAGGAACAAUUGGAGGGCAAGUCUGGUGCCAGCAGCCGCGGUAAUUCCAGCUCCAAUAGCGUAUAUUAAAGUUGUUGCAGUUAAAAAGCUCGUAGUUGAAUUUUGGGCUCGACUAUCUGGUCUCCCUAACGGGAUGCACUAGCCGGUUGGGCUCCUCCUUUUGGGGAUCCGGGCUGCACUUGAUUGGGUGGUCCGGGGAUCCAAAACUUUUACUGUGAACAAAUUAGAGUGUUCAAAGCAGGCUAACGCUUGAAUACAUUAGCAUGGAAUAAUGGAAUAGGACCUUGGUUCUAUUUUGUUGGUUUAAAGAACCAAAGUAAUGAUUAAUAGGGACAGUUGGGGGCAUUAGUAUUUCAGGGCUAGAG